AUUGAACGCUGGCGGCAUGCCUUACACAUGCAAGUCGAACGGCAGCACGGGAGCAAUCCUGGUGGCGAGUGGCGAACGGGUGAGUAAAGUAUCGGAACGUGCCCAGUCGUGGGGGAUAACGUAGCGAAAGCUACGCUAAUACCGCAUACGAUCUAUGGAUGAAAGCGGGGGACCGUAAGGCCUCGCGCGAUUGGAGCGGCCGAUAUCAGAUUAGGUAGUUGGUGAGGUAAAGGCUCACCAAGCCGACGAUCUGUAGCUGGUCUGAGAGGACGACCAGCCACACUGGGACUGAGACACGGCCCAGACUCCUACGGGAGGCAGCAGUGGGGAAUUUUGGACAAUGGGCGCAAGCCUGAUCCAGCAAUGCCGCGUGCAGGAUGAAGGCCUUCGGGUUGUAAACUGCUUUUGUACGGAGCGAAAAGGCUCUCUCUAAUACAGGGGGCUCAUGACGGUACCGUAAGAAUAAGCACCGGCUAACUACGUGCCAGCCGCCGCAGUAAAAC
rnacentral:rRNA from 1 species